GGCUUGUGUAAAGCAUUGGAUCAUUCUCGGGUUUGACUGCACCAUUCCAUGCAGUGCUCUCAGGACUGGUAGAAAACAUUUGGGAGCCACCAAACCGCAGAUAUCUAGUACCUUGGCGAUUGGACAACAACCUUGCAGAAUUUACAGACAGAGAAUCAGGUUGAGGCUUCCUUCGACGCCGGUUAUGUCCAUCAAGACGUUUCCUGCAGCUUCGCUUUCCCUCGUCAAACUCCACCAAAGAAUGGAACCUG
rnacentral:misc_RNA from 1 species